AUUGAACGCUGGCGGCAUGCCUUACACAUGCAAGUCGAACGGCAGCACGGGUGCUUGCACCUGGUGGCGAGUGGCGAACGGGUGAGUAUUACAUCGGAACAUGUCCUGUAGUGGGGGAUAGCCCGGCGAAAGCCGGAUUAAUACCGCAUACGAUCUACGGAUGAAAGCGGGGGACCUUCGGGCCUCGCGCUAUAGGGUUGGCCGAUGGCUGAUUAGUUAGUUGGUGGGGUAAAGGCCUACCAAGGCGACGAUCAGCAGCGGGUCGGAGAGGACGACCAGCCACACUGGGACGGGGAAACGGCCCAGACUCCUACGGGAGGCAGAAGUGGGGAAUUUUGGACAAUGGGCGAAAGCCUGAUCCAGCAAUGCCGCGUGUGUGAAGAAGGCCUUCGGGUUGUAAAGCACUUUUGUCCGGAAAGAAAUCCUUGGCCCUAAUACGGUCGGGGGAUGACGGUACCGGAAGAAUAAGCACCGGCUAACUACGUG
rnacentral:rRNA from 1 species